rnacentral:rRNA from 1 species
CGUAAGCUGUGCUCAUGCGGUUCUCUAGGGCGAUGUGACCUCCCCGGGCUUAGCCUGUGGCUGCAUUGGUGACUGGCGGGGUAGAGUAUGGCUCAGGGGGGUAGAAGUGCAGGGGUAACAGGGAAAUGUGUGUAAAUGUGGAGGAGUGCCGAUGGCGCAAUGUAUCCCCCUGGGCCAAUACUGACGCUCAUGCACGAAAGCGUGGGGAGCUAACUUGAGUAGAUACCCUGGAACUCCACACCCUAAACGAUGUCUACUAGUUGUCGGGCCUUCAUUGACUGGGGAGGUGCUUUUCUUGUGAAGUUGACCGCCUGGGGAGUACGGUUGCAACAUUAGAACUCAUAUGAAUUGACGGGGACCCGCACGAGCGGUGGAUGAUGUGGAUUACUUCCAUGCAACGCCAAAAACCUUACCUACCCUUGACAUCGACCGAACCUUGUUUAUAUGUCAGGGUGCUCGAAACGAAACCAUAACACAGGUGUUGUGUGGCUGUCGUCGGCUCGUGUCGUGAGAUGUAGGCUUAAGUCCCGCAACGAACGCAACCCUUGUCCCUAGUUGCUAUUAUUAGCACUCUCUGGAGACUGCCAGUGACAAACCGGAGGAUGGUGGAGAUGACGUCAACUCCUCAUGUCUCCUCAUGGUCAGGGGCUACAGACGUCCUAUAUGGUCUGAGCAGGUGGGUUUGCAUGGUCGCGAGUAGUAGCAUUCCGAGAGACAACUAUCGUAGUCUGAUGCUAGUCUUCGACUCGAUGUCGUGAGGCUGGAUCGCUGGCUAAUCGCGGAUCAGCA